rnacentral:rRNA from 1 species
UGCCAGCCGCCGCGGUAAUACGGAGGGUGCAAGCGUUGUUCGGAAUUACUGGGCGUAAAGCGCGCGUAGGCGGCUUUUUAAGUCAGAUGUGAAAGUCCACGGCUCAACCGUGGAAGUGCAUUUGAAACUGGGAGGCUUGAGCAUUGGAGGGGGUGGUGGAAUUCCCGGUGUAGAGGUGAAAUUCGUAGAUAUCGGGAGGAACACCGAUGGCGAAGGCAUCUCUCUGGACCGAUACUGACGCUGAGGCGCGAAGGCGUGGGUAGCGAACAGGAUUAGAUA